CUCUGCAUCAGUCCUCUCCUUUGUCUGUUUGCAGCGCUCUGACUCUGGAGGAUGAGAAGAGAUCUCUGUCCCUGCUCAUCAUCGGCUUCAUCCGCAUGGUUUCUUUUGGUCGUGACUUCGAGCAGCAGCUGAGUUUCUGUGUGGAGGCCAGGGCGUCGUUCUGUAACCUGGAGUCCGUGCUGGUGCAGCUCAUUCACACGGUGAACACGCUGGCCAUGGAGACCAGCAGCGUGAUGAGAGGGAAUCACUCCCGAAAAACAGCAGCCUUCGUCCGGGUGGGUCGUC